AUUCCAGCUCCAAUAGCGUAUAUUAAAGUUGCUGCAGUUAAAAAGCUCGUAGUUGGAUUUGUGGCGCGGCCGUCCGGCACGGAUCCUUCAUUGGGCCCGUUUGUCCGGUUUUUCGGCCGCCCCAUUCUCGGGUAGUGUGUCGCUGGCAUUAGGUUGUCGGCUUCUUCACGCCCGUCGUUUACUGUGAAAAAAUUAGAGUGUUCAAAGCAGGCUUAGGCCGUUGGAUACAUUAGCAUGGAAUAAUGAGAUAGGGCCACGACGGUCUAUUUUGUUGGUUUGCACGUUGUGGUAAUGAUUAACAGGAACGGUUGGGGGUAUUCGUAUUCAAUUGUCAGAGGUGAAAUUCUUGGAUUUAUGGAAGACGAACUACUGCGAAAGCAUUUACCAAGGAUGUUUUCAUUA
rnacentral:rRNA from 1 species